UGUUGGAAAAAGAGAGGAGAAAGGAGAGGUGAAGACGAUUUCGAGGUUUCUCUGCUUCGGACGUCGUAAACGAAUGCAGAAGUGGUCCUGUCGUGGCGGAGAAGCCGGCACAGAGCUGAGAAUGAAACGGAGUUUGUGGUGAUUCGCGGAAGUGGUCAUGUCGUGAGACGACGGCCAUGGUGGCUCCGGUUUCAGUUGAUGGCGGAAGAAGAAAACCGCGACCGCUAGAGAGGACAUGGAAGAGGAGGAGCAGUGGCUUAGAAUGUUGAGAACGAGUUGAAGAGCACGGCUAAUUGAGGAUAAGGUGCUAAAGGGCAUAACAGAUGAUGAACGUAAGUUGCUAGAUGAGUUUGAGGAUGUUGAAUAUGACAGAAAGGCUGUUGAAGUGGUGCUUACGGUAAAU